GAAUCCCUUUCCGUUUUGUUGAGAAUCAUGAGGUUCCAUCUCAAAACCAAUUGGAUAUAUGGGCUAUUUUUGCUAAGAUGAUGGCUAUUUUUUGCUCAUCAAUCUUGAACCGUAUCAGAGUGAACAUGGUCAUUAUCUGUAUGGGUGCAGAUCGGAUAUGAUCACUUGCCCGCAAGGGAUAUGGCUCUGAUACCAUGUUGAGAAUCAUGGGGUUCCAUCUCAAAACCAAUUGGUGAUGAGUGGAGUAGCCCAUGUUCUUAUAUAUGGCUCAAUACUUUCACAUUUCAUCCACGUGGGACAAUAUUCUCCAAUACCUUUCGAUUGUCCUCUUCCUCACGGUGGUGGUUUGAAGCUCUCUAUUCCGACGUAGCUCUCAACGAAAGCUUCUCUCCUUUUGCACCAUUUUUUUUAUCAUCAACGGUAUUAGAAGCCCUAAACCUCAUUCAUCAGAGAAGAGGAAUUCAUAGGCUAUUGGCUUCAUUACCACCUGCGCACAAUUACUUCACUCAAAGUUUCAUAAAGGCUAAAAGUGAGUUAUCUUCCGAAGUCAUAUUUGUUACUUAUAAUACACUUAAAUUUUACUUAAAUAAAAGUCUAAUAAUUUUUUUUUAUUUUUUUAUUUUGAGCCCACACUGGCCUAGCACACCUAUGCCUAUGUGAUCGCUGUUGAGAAUGUUGGGUUAGAAUUGUUUCACAAAUCAGAAAACAUGCUUUACGUUCAGAGAUGCAAAAGGAAUACAGGUGAAGAUUGGGAUAAGAUUUCUCAUAUUCAACACUUGGACUUAUGUCCAAAUCCCAACGAAGAAGAAGAAAAUGAGAAUACAAAGGGAUGCAACCUUUUCAACAAGUUUAGGCUACGCAAUACAAGAGAUCAAUGAUAGAUUAGAUAUAUCAUAUGUGUAGGUAAUUAGUUAUUUUGCAAAUCCCUUCUGCAAUGUGUACAAGUUCAAUGUGCAUGCAAUUACUUCCUUCUGAUAUGAUUUGUAUCAAAAACAAAUUUUUUUUUAAAAAAGAGAGUAAAAGUUGUCAUGGACUGAAGCUAUAUAUCAUUGUUUUCCUGAACAAAUGGAGGAGAAGAAUACAAACUCUGAUAUUUCUAUUGAUUGAAAAGUUUUGAGUGUAGUACCCUAGAAUUAAGGAAUGAAUUAGCAAAACCCUAAUUAGAUAAUUAUGAAUAAUUGAGGAAUUAUAUUAUUAUAUAAUUCAGUAUAUGUGAAUUAAUUUGAUUAAUUAUAUGUUAAGACCCCGUUGGUGAGCCAGGGGCAUUUUAGUAAUUAUGACCCGAGAAGGGUAAAAUGAUGAAAUUAAUUUAAUUACGUGCUUAAUGGAACUAUAUUAUCAUGUAGUAUGACUGUGUUGUCUUUUCAGGGGUGUUCUGACAGGUUGGCGCGGUAUAGUCACAACCGGGUAUUUCGGGCCGAACCGGGUUUGGGCCCGAAAUAUAAAUUGGAUUGAUUUAUUUGGCAUUAUUAUUUAUGGGUGAUAAUCUGAAUUUUUAUUUGAAAAUAAUUGAGUAUGAAUUCACUAGAAUGCCCUUGUAUGUGUGAAUAGGUGAAAAUUGGCCUUAGGGGCAAAAUGGUCUUUUGACCUUAUUUGAUUUACUUUAAUAAAAGCUGAAUUUUGAGGAAAUGAAAUUAGAAAUUCUGGGUCCUCUCUCUCUCCUUAACCCGACCCCCUCUUCCUCUCUCUUUAUCAUCUUCAAUAUUUUACAACUUUGAAAUUAAGGCUUGGAUUGGAGAAAAGUUAAGGAGUUUGGGUGAUUUUGGUGCUUGGAGCUUAGAAAUUUGUGGAUUACCGGCACCUGAUCAGGAGCACCCAGGGGUUUGGAAUCUCUGUUAUUGCGGGACAACAGGUAAGACAGUAGUUUGCACGUAGAGUAUGCGCGGUGGCGCUUAUGUUGAAUAUGAUAUAUGUGAGUAAUUGCAACCAGGAUUAGGGUUAUUACCCUAACAUGAGCGGUUUAAUAGCCUAGGGUUAUUACCCUAGUGAUAUAUGUAGUGUAAUACUAUGCCAUGUCGGA